UAUUAAUCCUGCAUCAAGUCACUGUUUCAGGAAGAUCACUGUAAGAUGAUACCGUGCUUCAUCCAGAAUGAAUGCAUUACUCCUGUUUAGAAGAGACAGGUGUAAUGAUAAGCACAGAGAAGAGACAGGUGUAAUGAUAUUGGCUCUCAGAUUAGUCCGACAUAUAUUUAAGAGACAAGAAGGAAAUUUCUUAUUUUUUACAAGCUUUUACCCUGUUUCCAUACUUGAGACUACUAAGACUUUGCUAGUGAUAGGAGCUAGAGAUAAAAUUAGAUGAAAAGGUCUUUUUCUCUGGAGAGUGGAGGUGCUCAGCCUUCCUGAAGAACACAGGAUGAUCAGGAAUAGAAACGUUUUUUCAGCCUCUGAGCUCACUUUAAUUAUGGCAAGUUUUUGUCUCCUGUCUUAUUUGAAGUCCUUUCCUUUAUGAAAAACUCCAGGUCAGAGAAGAUUACAGAGAUUAGAUGUGGCAAUCAUAAAGACAAUUAUGUCCCAGAGGAAAUAUGUUUUAUAAAGUGUUGGUUCUACUUAUGAACAUAGCGAGUGUCUAAAUGUAAAGAACAGUUGGUUCUUUUCCUUUCUGUGCAUCUUUAGAAAAUAUGCCUAUUUCUUCUCAUCCUAGCUUGUCUGUCAGUGAUUGCAUUGUUCUGGAAAUAUUUGCAUGCAGUUUUUCUCCUACUGUUUCUACAGAUUUCAGGCUCAAACUAAGUAUAUAGCUGCAAUUUUCACAUAUUCUGUAUUCUCUAAUACCCUACGUAACAAGGUUCAAGAAAGGAUUAUCAGGAGACUGUCUUUCAAGGAAGAGGAAGACUGCAGGAACCGAAUAGAUGUUUGAAAGGCUGAAGUAGCUGGGGUUGAGUAUGGGACAUAGCAGCCUGAAGCCCAAAGGGAGGGAAAAUAAUGGAUUCCAACCCCAGAUCCAGCGAAGGCUACAGGGAUCAGGGAGCUCAGAGCUGUGAUUAGCCUAAUAAUGAGGAGGAAAUACUGUCUUGAAUUACCACUGGGAAGAAGAAGUUCCCUGUCUUCAGUUGCAGAAGAAAGAAUUGUAAAGACUAUUACUUCCUGGAUUGCUUGCCUGGAUAAAGACCAAGUCUGUCAUAUUUGCCCUGGCAUAACCUUGGAAGAAGCUAAAUCCCAAAGAGGUAUAAACCUACAGGGUAAGUACAGGUUAAAUUGUUUUUCAAGUAACUUCACGCUGUCAGCACUGAUUCUUCUAUUUCCUUCAGAAGUCAACGGAUAUUUAUAUCACUGAAGAUUGGUCUUAAAAUUGGUUUCACAAGAUAGAAACUCUAUAAUAUGCGUAACAGAGUGUUGCUAUACAGCCGUGGACCAAGGCAUCUUGAUUUUAUCAGCUAUGUUAAUCAUCACUAUUUUUAUAGGGAGCAUUUAUAUAAUUGCUAUAGGGAUGUGCAAAUUGGGCCAUUGUCAGGACUAAAACCAACCACAUUUCUGAUGGGUAAACUUAUUUUAAUAAUAUAAAAAAGGAUUAUAUUUGAAAAGCUAUUAUAUUUAGUAGAAAAGGAAAUAAUUGCGUCUAUUGUUGUGUAUUAUGCAAUUAUUUUCCUAUCUAGUAUCAAAGAUAAUUCUUCAUCAGUUUCAGGUCAGCCCUGUACUACCACAUAUAAAUUGACAUUUGAGAGAGUGGUGUGUUGUGUUGUGUUUUUUUUGUUUGUUUGUUUGUUUGUUUUAAGGACAAACAAACAUCCUUUUUUGGAAUACUGUUUUUAACAAGGUAGAAUGAUUAAAUUCCUCAUCCAUGAGAGAAAGCUGGUAUUAUUUUUCUUUUAUUGCAU
rnacentral:lncRNA from 1 species